UGGGGAAUAUUGCACAAUGGGCGAAAGCCUGAUGCAGCGACGCCGCGUGAGGGAUGACGGCCUUCGGGUUGUAAACCUCUUUCAGCAGGGACGAAGCGCAAGUGACGGUACCUGCAGAAGAAGCACCGGCUAACUACGUGCCAGCAGCCGCGGUAAUACGUAGGGUGCAAGCGUUGUCCGGAAUUACUGGGCGUAAAGAGUUCGUAGGCGGUUUGUCGCGUCGUUUGUGAAAACCAGCAGCACAACUGCUGGCUUGCAGGCGAUACGGGCAGACAUGAGUACUGCAGGGAAGACUGUAAUUCCUGGUGUAGCGGUGAAAUGCGCAGAUAUCAGGAGGACCACCGGUUGCGAAGGCGGGUCUCUGGGCAGUAACUGACGCUGAGGAACGAAAGCGUGGGUAGCGAACAGG
rnacentral:rRNA from 1 species